rnacentral:rRNA from 1 species
UACGAGGGGUGCAAACGUUAUUCGGAAUCAUUGGGCGUAAAGGGUGCGUAGACGGCGAAAUAAGUCAGUCAUUAAAUUUUCCAGCUUAACUGGAAAUCUGUGGUUGAAACUGAUUUGCUUGAGGAUGGAAGAGAGAAGCGGAAUUCUCGGAGUAGCGGUAAAAUGCGUAGAUCUCGAGAGGAACACCGAUGGCGAAGGCAGCUUCUUGGUCCAUAUCUGACGUUGAGGUACGAAAGCGUGGGGAGCAAACAGG